AGCAGCCGCGGUAAUUCCAGCUCCAAUAGCGUAUAUUAAAGUUGCUGCAGUUAAAAGCUCGUAGUUGAAUUUCGGGACUAAUAUGUCGGUCGUGCCUCGGUACGUACUGGCUUAUUGGUUUCUCCUUUCUGAAGAACCAUGAUGUCAUUUAUUUGGUGUCGUGGGGAAUCAGGACUGUUACUUUGAAAAAUUAGAGUGUUUAAAGCAGGCUCACGCUUGAAUACAUUAGCAUGGAAUAAUGAAAUAGGACGUUUGAUUCUAUUUUGUUGGUUUCUAGGAUCGACGUAAUGAUUAAUAGGGAUAGUUGGGGGCAUUAGUAUUCAAUUGUCAGAGGUGAAAUUCUUGGAUUUAUUGAAGACUAACUACUGCGAAAGCAUUUGCCAAGGAUGUUUUCAUUAAUCAAGAACGAAAGUUAGGGAUCGAAGACGAUCAGAUACCGUCGUAGUCUUAACCAUAAACUAUGCCGACUAGGGAUCGGAUGAUGUUAAUUUUUUAAUGACUCAUUCGGCGCCUUAACC
rnacentral:misc_RNA from 1 species